UCCCGACUCCUUCGAAACAGCUUCCUGUGCUAAGGUGCAUCUAGUGCAGUUAGUGAAGUAGCUUAGAAUCUACUGCCCUGAAUGCUCCUUCUGGCAUAGGAGGCCGGAGCCGAACCACAGGUCGC
rnacentral:precursor_RNA from 11 species